rnacentral:rRNA from 1 species
AUUGAACGCUGGCGGCAGGCCUAACACAUGCAAGUCGAACGAGUGGCGGACGGGUGAGUAAUGUCUGGGAAACUGCCCGAUGGAGGGGGAUAACUACUGGAAACGGUAGCUAAUACCGCAUACCAUCGGAUGUGCCCAGAUGUUAUUAGCUUGUAGGUGAGGUAACGGCUCACCUAGGCGACGAUCCCUAGCUGGUCUGAGAGGAUGACCAGCGACGCUGGAACUGAGACACGGUCCAGACUACUACGGGAGGCAGCAGGGGGGAAUAUUGCACAAUGGGCGCAAGCCUGAUGGUGCCAUGCCGCGGGUAUGAAGAAGGCCUUCAGGUUGUAAAGUACUGUCAGCGGGGAGGCGUUACCCGCAGAAGAAGCACCGGCGAACUCCGGGCCAGCAGCCGCGGUAAUAC